GCUUUGUCGUUUCCUCUUCUUCAAACAUCGAUCAAUUGACACAGAACUCCAUCUCUAUGCAAUCAAAUCCUUCUGAAAUCUCAUUUAUUUUUAGCGAUUAAAGAGAGAGUCUCUCUCUCUUCCGAUCAAAACAAGUAAACGAAAAAUCUAAUCACCGUUUGAGUUCUUUCUCUCUUCUCUAGGGUUCUUCUUCUUCUACAAGCUUCAUCCACUAAACAUGAGUGAUUGAUUCUGAUGUGUACAGUCAUCAUCCUGGAGUGAAAUGGGCAGAGACCACUGACAAGAUUUUCCUCACCGUAGUGUUGGCUGAUUCCAAGGAGACUAAAGUUAAUCUUCUCCCUGAAGUUGUCUUCGAUUUCUCUGCAAAAGCUGGUCCUGAAAACCACGUUUAUGAGCUUAAACUCGAACUUCAAAACAAAGUCAAUGUUGAGGAAAGCAAAAUCAACAUUGGAUUGAGAAGCAUAUUCUGCAUAAUUGAGAAAAUAGAGCCUGAAACGUGGGACAAGCUAAUCCUUCGAAAGGGCCACACUAUGUCAAGAUUGAUUGGGAGGCUGUACUGCUUACAAUCAAGGGACCGGACGAGGAACGUCUGUAUUAGAAAUGGUUGCUGCUUUUAAAAAAGCUUGUGGCAAGAAAAUACCUAUCAAGCUUUGUCCGAGAAGACCAGGAGAUGCAACUGCAGUUUAUACUUCAACAGAGAGAGCUGAGAAAGAACUUGGCUGCAAAUCUUACUAUCAGUCUUGCAAGACUUACCGGAAAAUAUGUGAAGCUUCAAGAAUAGACAGCCACAAACUUAUACCGAUGUGUUUCAGGGAUAAAAGAGAGAAAGAGCAACAACGUCUAUGUAAUAUCCAAAGAGAUGAUGAUGCUGUAACAUCACAAGAACCCACUACUCUUAAUACUGGCGAUGCCUUACGUUCACGGUAGAUCAUGGAGUGUAUGCGUGAUUACAAGAGCAAGGAAGAGACUGUAAAAUAUCUGUUGGAUCAAUAUCGAAUCACACAUGAAUCGACCAACACAUGAAACUAAAAAGCCUUUGGUCUUGUGCCUUUUCAUUCAAAGGAAGACCAUAGUGAGCUACUCCGUUGUGUGGUGGUUGCGUACGGCAUGGUCAAACGGCUCAAAAGUCUCAUGGUAAGGACAUACCUACUCUUCAUAUGUUUUGAUGUGACAUGGUGUUGGAUUGGGUGGAGCAAGAAGCACAAGUGGCAGGGUGUCAGUUUGAGGUCUGAAGCAGAGAGGAAUCUUGGGAGGAAGAGGCAGCGACAGAACAAAGGGAAACGGGGUCUAGACCUCCUAACCAAGCAACUUAAAGCAAGGUGUAUGAUUUUGACCUGAUCGGGUUCACGGAGUCGCAACUACUGUACGAAAUCCAGGAGAAACGAGGCGAAGUCGGAAAUGGUGUAGAAAGAAAAGGAAGAAGUCAAUUCUGGCUUCUGCAAAAUAACUAACUUUCAUUCAGUUUUUAAGAACAUAUAAAUGUUUAAGAGCGUUCAAAGCUGUCUCUAUUCAUUUGUUUCGGUUCUGUAAAAAGCUUAUAUAAAAUAAACGCAGGAGAAGUAUGAGGAUAUUGUUGAAGGAUAGAAGGUGAAGCGGAGUUUGAGAGAAGUGCAUGGGGUGAAUAGACAUGAGAACUUUCAUCCCCAACAAGAAUUAGCAACAAAAGAUAACGUAUUUUAGGAAAAGAUUAGUGCUUGCUUCUUCAGAUUAAGUGGAUUUUGAAUGUUGUUUAAUCUUAGUUUCCUUUACCUUUCGGUUGGUUCAAUGUUUGUUUUCUUUUAUAUUUUGUUUUAAACUUGAUGAGUUUAUAUCACUUUGUUUAUAAUCAGGGUCAGCUGCAAACA